rnacentral:tRNA from 1 species
GGUUGUGGCUCAGUGGUAGAACGCUUGCCUAGCACAAAUGAGGUACUGGGUUCAAUCCCCAGGACCA